rnacentral:rRNA from 1 species
AUGGGGAGUGAUCAUGCUUCCAUUUUGCUUGAUUAUGGGGUGGGCGUAUAUAGCCCAACUAGACCUUUUAAAUUUGAAAAAUGGUGGCUCGAACAACCUGACUUUGAGGCCUUGGUUGAAUUUUUUUGGGCCACACCUUCCCCUUUUACCACUGCUAUUGAAACCUGGCAAUUUAAAACUAAAUUGUUUAGGAAACUUGUAAAAGGAUGGAGCAUCAACAUUGAAGCGACCAUGAAGAAAAGAAAGAAAGAAUUACUUCAGGAAUUUGGUAUCUUAGAUAUCUUUUCUGAAUAGAAUAGAAUUAAUGCCGAGUAUAUCCUCAGGAUGAAACAUAUCAAGGACGAGCUCCAUGAGAUUUGGAAAAAAGAAGAAACUGCCAUGUGGCAGAGAUCUAGAGACAGGAAGAUCAAAGAGGGGGGGGGGGAUAGGAAUACAACAUAUUUCCAUGCUGUCGCUAACUAGCGUAGAAGGAAAAAUUAGUUGUCUAUCUUGGAGGGCGCAAAUGGGCCUGUUUACUCCACCCAAGACAUGCUGGGGGUCGCAACUAAUUUCUAUAAAAACCUUUUUGGGUUUGAACCUAAACCUAACAUUCACUUAUAUGACCAAUUUUGGUCUGAAGAGGAGCGUGUGACAGAGGCUGAAAAUACCAUGCUAGAAAGGCCUUUUUCAGAGGAGGAAAUUAAGGAAGCCAUCAUGGGCUCUUAUGCUAAUGGAGCCCCUGAACCUGAUGGUCUCUCUUUUUUAUUUUGAAAGCACUUUUGGGAGGUUGUUAAAGAGGAUUUCAUGGCGCUUGUGAGGGAUUUUGAGAGUGGAUCUUUGGAUAUCCAGAGACUAAAUUACUCUAUAGUCACUCUUAUUCCCCAGGAGCCAGACGCCAAAAAUAUGGAAAAUUUUAGGCCCAUUUGUUUGAGUAAUUGUUCUGUGAUUUUUUUAGUAAAGCUAUGA